UGGGGAAUUUUGCGCAAUGGGCGAAAGUCUGACGCAGCAACGCCGCGUGUGUGAUGAAGGUCUUCGGAUUGUAAAGCACUUUCGACCGGGACGAAAACCCUGAGGUUAAUAAGCUCAGGCUUGACGGUACCGGGAGAAGAAGCACCGGCUAACUCUGUGCCAGCAGCCGCGGUAAUACAGAGGGUGCAAGCGUUGUUCGGAAUUAUUGGGCGUAAAGCGCGUGUAGGCGGCUAUGCAAGUCGGGUGUGAAAGCCCUCAGCUUAACUGAGGAAGUGCGCCCGAAACUGCGUGGCUUGAAUACCGGAGAGGAUGGCGGAAUUCCCGAAGUAGAGGUGAAAUUCGUAGAUAUCGGGAGGAACACCGGUGGCGAAGGCGGCCAUCUGGACGGAUAUUGACGCUGAGACGCGAAAGCGUGGGUAGCAAACAG
rnacentral:rRNA from 1 species